GACGUAGGGCGCGAGCGUUGUCCGGAUUUAUUGGGCGUAAAGAGCUCGUAGGCGGCGUGUCGCGUCGACCGUGAAAACCUGCAGCUUAACUGUGGGCGUGCGGUCGAUACGGGCAUCACUGGAGUUCGGCAGGGGAGACUGGAAUUCCUGGUGUAGCGGUGAAAUGCGCAGAUAUCAGGAGGAACACCGGUGGCGAAGGCGGGUCUCUGGGCCGAUACUGACGCUGAGGAGCGAAAGCGUGGGGAGCAAACAGG
rnacentral:rRNA from 1 species